UACGGGGGGGGCAAGCGUUGUUCGGAAUUACUGGGCGUAAAGGGUGCGUAGGCGGUCGCGCAAGUCGGAUGUGAAAUCUCGGGGCUCAACCCCGAAACUGCAUUCGAUACUGCGUGGCUCGAGUACUGGAGAGGAGACUGGAAUUUACGGUGUAGCAGUGAAAUGCGUAGAUAUCGUAAGGAAGACCAGUGGCGAAGGCGAGUCUCUGGACAGUUACUGACGCUGAGGCACGAAGGCCAGGGGAGCAAACGGG
rnacentral:rRNA from 1 species